rnacentral:sRNA from 20 species
GCACCUCAUAAAACGGGUGCCGGGAUUAGCACCCCGAAAGUUACUCGAGCGCAUAACCGCGCUGAAGCGGUUUUUUU